GACCUCGGAUCAGGUAGGAAUACCCGCUGAACUUAAGCAUAUCAAUAAGCG
rnacentral:rRNA from 1 species